rnacentral:rRNA from 1 species
GCUUAACACAUGCAAGUCGAACGAUGAAGCCCAGCUUGCUGGGUGGAUUAGUGGCGAACGGGUGAGUAACACGUGAGUAACCUGCCCUUAACUCUGGGAUAAGCCUGGGAAACUGGGUCUAAUACCGGAUAGGAGCGUCCACCGCAUGGUGGGUGUUGGAAAGAUUUAUCGGUUUUGGAUGGACUCGCGGCCUAUCAGCUUGUUGGUGAGGUAAUGGCUCACCAAGGCGACGACGGGUAGCCGGCCUGAGAGGGUGACCGGCCACACUGGGACUGAGACACGGCCCAGACUCCUACGGGAGGCAGCAGUGGGGAAUAUUGCACAAUGGGCGCAAGCCUGAUGCAGCGACGCCGCGUGAGGGAUGACGGCCUUCGGGUUGUAAACCUCUUUCAGUAGGGAAGAAGCGAAAGUGACGGUACCUGCAGAAGAAGCACCGGCUAACUACGUGCCAGCAGCCGCGGUAAUACGUAGGGUGCGAGCGUUAUCCGGAAUUAUUGGGCGUAAAGAGCUCGUAGGCGGUUUGUCGCGUCUGUCGUGAAAGUCCGGGGCUUAACCCCGGAUCUGCGGUGGGUACGGGCAGACUAGAGUGCAGUAGGGGAGACUGGAAUUCCUGGUGUAGCGGUGGAAUG